rnacentral:tRNA from 1 species
CGGACUUAAAAUCCGUUGGGCGGUAACGCCCGUGCCGGUUCAAGUCCGGCCGCCCGCACCA